GCCUGUUUAUUAAAAACAUGGCCUGUUGACUAUAAUUUUAGGUCUGGCCUGCCCAAUGUUUAAUUAAUGGCCGCGGUACAUUGACCGUGCAAAGGUAGCAUAAUCACUAGUUUUUUAAUUGAAAGCUUGAAUGAAAGGUUUGAUGAGGAAAUUUCUGUCUUUUUGUAAAUUUUUUAGAAUUUUAUUUUUAAGUGAAAAAGCUUAAAUUGUUAUGGAAGACGAGAAGACCCUAUAGAGUUUUAUAUUUAUAUUUAAAUAAUAAAUUUAGGAAAUGAAAUAUUAUUAUUAUUUUUAAGUAUUUAGUUGGGGUGAUAAGAAAAUUAAAUAAACUUUUUUUUUAUUUUAUCAUUUAUUUAUGAGUAUAUGAUCCUGAGUUACAGAUUAAAAGAUUAAAUUACCUUAGGGAUAACAGCGUAAUUAUUUUUAGAGUUCUUAUCAAAAAAAUAGAUUGCGACCUCGAUGUUGGAUUAAAGUAUAUUACUGGUGAAGAAGCUAGAUAAUUGGGUYUGUUCGACCUUUAAAAC
rnacentral:rRNA from 1 species